rnacentral:rRNA from 1 species
CUGGCUCAGGAUGAACGCUAGCUACAGGCUUAACACAUGCAAGUCGAGGGGCAGCGGGGAUCUAGCUUGCUAGAUUGCCGGCGACCGGCGCACGGGUGAGUAACGCGUAUCCAACCUUCCCCUUAGUAGGGCAUAGCCCGUAGAAAUGCGGAUUAAUACCCUAUGUUAUUCGUCGAGGACAUCUGAAGUGAAUCAAAGGUUUACCGCUAAGGGAUGGGGAUGCGUCUGAUUAGGCAGCAGGCGGGGUAACGGCCCACCUGGCCUACGAUCAGUAGGGGUUCUGAGAGGAAGGUCCCCCCACAUUGGAACUGAGACACGGUCCAAACUCCUACGGGAGGCAGCAGUGAGGAAUAUUGGUCAAUGGGCGCGAGCCUGAACCAGCCAAGUAGCGUGCAGGACGACGGCCCUAUGGGUUGUAAACUGCUUUUAUGCGGGGAUAAAGUGCGGCACGUGUGCCGUUUUGUAGGUACCGCAUGAAUAAGGACCGGCUAAUUCCGUGCCAGCCGCGGC